rnacentral:rRNA from 1 species
UAAUACGUAGGGUCCGAGCGUUGUCCGGAAUUAUUGGGCGUAAAGAGCUCGUAGGCGGCGUGUCACGUCUGCUGUGAAAGACCGGGGCUUAACUCCGGUUCUGCAGUGGAUACGGGCAUGCUAGAGGUAGGUAGGGGAGACUGGAAUUCCUGGUGUAGCGGUGAAAUGCGCAGAUAUCAGGAGGAACACCGGUGGCGAAGGCGGGUCUCUGGGCCUUACCUGACGCUGAGGAGCGAAAGCAUGGGGAGCGAACAGGAUUAGAUACCCUGGUAGUCCAUGCCGUAAACGUUGGGCGCUAGGUGUGGGGACUUUCCACGGUUUCCGCGCCGUAGCUAACGCAUUAAGCGCCCCGCCUGGGGAGUACGGCCGCAAGGCUAAA